rnacentral:rRNA from 1 species
UACGGGGGGUGCGAGCGUUGUCCGGAUUCACUGGGCGUAAAGGGCGCGUAGGCGGCUUGUUCAGUCCGGUCUUUAAGAGCGGGGCUCACCCCCGUGGUGGACCGGGGACGGAUGAGCUGGGGCGCGGCAGAGGGGGACGGAAUGCCGGGUGUAGUGGUGAAAUGCGUAGAGAUCCGGCGGAACACCGGUGGUGAAGACGGUCCCCUGGGCCGAGGCCGACGCUGAGGCGCGAGAGCGCGGGGAGCGAACCGG